AUGGUGGUGCCGCCGCCGGCCUUUGCGCCCCGUGGGCCCCUAGAUGGUCGUGUUGGAGAAUGGGCCACGGGCCACCCGGACUCUGGGUCCGGGUUACGGCCUACGCGGCCCAAGGCCGUGGGGGGCCAGGUGCAUCGACGGGUCCAGCAUCAGUCAUCGUGCUCGUCCUGGGCAGGCGUCAGACGGAGACACGCCCCGAGCGACGCGGAGGUGGGCUUGGCGGCGGCAGGGUGGGCUCCGUGGGGCGGCCCGGCCCGGGCAGGCCUUGUCCUGGCGAGCGCCCAGGCUACAGGCGGCCUGUGUUGGUGUCCAGAGAAGCCCCGGCUCGCGUGCUCACAUGUCACCCGCUUGGUGCACAUUUGCUCUUUUCAGUGCAGACAUGGGUGCCCUGGACGGUGGGGCGGGGCCCGUGUCACGGCUGCGGGGUGGCCACGGCCCGGCGGCCUGCAGGGAGCCCGAGGCACGGGGGCCCCGUCCGUGAAGUGCGUCCAUGGAAGCCCCCCACGCACACCAGGGGUCCCCCGGUUUCCCGGCGCGAGCGUGAGAGGCGCUGCAGUCUCCCAGGAGCAGGAGGCGAUCCAGGCAGGGAUCCAGGCAGGGAGUCCGGGCGACCCCCAGGCACGCUGCUUUCCACACCAGGCCCCUGCUGUCGGGGAAGGGCGCCUCCCCCUAGCUGGCGGGCGCCUGGGUGCCCCUCGCAGCACCCUUCCUUCUCUCCCAGCACCCGAGCCUCCUGGGUGUCCUCUGAUGCUCCAGGCCUCUCUGCGUCCCCUCAGUGUCCAGAGCAGCACCGUCACCCAGCCAGCAGCUGGCCACACCUGGGAGCGACACCUGCCUCCCUCUCCCCUCUGUGUGUCAUCUGGCCCCAUGGGCCACCCCAGACACCCGUGGAUCCCCUCUCCUUUCCCCCAUCCUUGCUGCCCCAGGCAGUGUUCUGGGGUGACCCCUUGCAGGCCGCCCCCCCUCCACCGUUCCCGCAGCGACCUUCCUGGUGCUGCCAGCACCCUGCUCAUCAUUCUUCAGCGGCUCCCUGUCACCCUCAGGAGUACCCCCCCCCCCCCCCCAGUGCACAGCACCGGGACCUUGUGUGUGGCUGGGGUGGCCCCAGGCUGCCCGUGCCCUUCUUCAGCCCCUGGCACCCACCCUCCUGGGGUGGGGGGAGGCAGUUUUUCCCAAGGUCUUCUGUUUCUGGAGCCUGGAAGGAAUUUCGGACCUCCCGGAGGGAAUAGGCUGGAAGAAGGAGCCCGGCCCUCUGCUGUCCUGGGGCCCGGCCACUGGGGGACGCGAGCAAAGGCCAGCCCUCGCCCAGUCUUGCACAGAGAGCCACGUGGGCUUGUUUUCCGAGAUGAGGACAAUAGCCCAAGGCGCUGCGCCCACGAUGCUACUGCUGUGGGGGACGUGCUCCCGACCCGACGGCACGCCCGCACACCUGAGGCCUCUGUUUCUUAA
rnacentral:lncRNA from 1 species